UACGGAGGGAGCUAGCGUUGUUCGGAAUUACUGGGCGUAAAGCGCACGUAGGCGGCUUUGUAAGUUAGAGGUGAAAGCCUGGGGCUCAACUCCAGAACUGCCUUUAAAACUGCAUCGCUUGAAUCCAGGAGAGGUGAGUGGAAUUCCGAGUGUAGAGGUGAAAUUCGUAGAUAUUCGGAAGAACACAAGUGGCGAAGGCGGCUCACUGGACUGGUAUUGACGCUGAGGUGCGAAAGCGUGGGGAGCAAACAGG
rnacentral:rRNA from 1 species